AUGAGUGGACGGUGCCAAAAAUUUCUGGACAUUUUCCUCUCUUCCCCAUCGAUCCUCCUAUUUCUUCCACUCUGUCAUCUCCGGUCACCUCUUCCCAUCCUAGUUCAAUGCAUCCAGCCUGUCGUGGCACCGUCUCCCCUUUGCUCUUCCUCCACCACGGCCGUAACUCUACGGCGGCCAAGAUCCGCAGCCUCAUCUCCUCACUGACGGUGACCAAAUCCGCAGCCUCGCCUCAUCUCCUCUCUGGCGGUGGUCGGGGCUGUUGGAGAAGCCCCCGUGACCCUCUAUGGUCAGCCGACGGAGGAGAUAAGACGCGAGCACGUUCCUCACCUCCCAUGCUCCAUCGCUCCUUUGUCUCUUCCACCUCAUACCCGACCUCCAGCGGCACACGCUCUCCUACCCUGCCAUAGCAAGGCGGGCCUCAUCUGAGCUGCUAAAAUGGAGGCCAAGCUGCUGCUCCGCUUCUCCUCCCCGCCCAACAACGUGAUCCAGUGAAGCACCACCACUGGCUCAUCGUCCUUGCUCGAUUCUAGCCGAUUCAAUUCGACGCGGUUUUGAGUAGAUUGAUGUGAUUCAUUUCGGUUAUGCGAUUGAUCUGGUUGUAGGAGCCAGCGGGAACGACAGGUGACAUGGCAGCGGCGCCAGCAGCGGCGGCCCCGCAACUCUACCUCUCACGGUCACACACAGAGGCAUACCCUACAUGGGGAAGAAUCACGUCUCUUCAAAUCACAACGAUACUUUGGAGUUGUGGAAGGAACUGAAAGACCCCAGUGACACAAAAGUAACUUUGAAAGGAUUGCUAGCCAAAAUGAAAGGCGACAACACACCUAAUUUUGUCAGGCCAUUUGUCUUGUACACCAUAGGCAAAUAUGUAUGCCCGACAACAUAGCAGUAUGUGGACAACAGAUACCUUUGGAUUGUUAGAAACGUUGAGACAAUAAAGAGCACCAAUUUUAGACAGCUUACACUUGACCAUCUUAUGGCUAGCGUCAGGAAAUUUGUAAAUGGUGGAGCAAGUCUGGAGGGCAACCUACCACUGCUGCAGACAUGGUACUACGAGAAGUGGAGGGUGCACCAAUUGGACUCUACCAUCUCGUAUGCAUCAAGGUUAAGGCCGCUGAUCCAAAACUGGAGUGACGAGAAGGCACAGAAGGUUGACAACAUAAUCAACAAAAA